rnacentral:rRNA from 3 species
GCAUGAUAAAUCGCCCUUUAAUUGUGGGCUUGUACGAAAGGAUCAACGAAGGCUUUCCUGUCUCAAAAAUACACCUAAAAAUUGGCCUCUAGGUGAAAAGACCUAGAUUUUAUUAGAGGACAAAAAGACCCCGUAGAGCUUUAUAUCUUAAUACUUAUACUUCUAUAUUCAUAUAAAAAUUAUAAAUUAAUAAAAUAUAUUUGGCUGGGGCGGCUAUGGAGCAAAAAACCUCCACAAACAACAAAGAUUUUCAAAUCUAUACACACCACUCUGAUCCUUAUCAAGAUCAAAGAAUUAAGCUACCUCGGGGAUAACAGAUUAAUCCCUUUUGAGAGUUCACAUUGACAAAGGGCUUUGACACCUCGAUGUUGGCUUAGGGUAUCCCAAGGGUCUGUAGCAGCCCUUAAUGGUAGGUUUGUUCAACCUUUAAAACCCU